CACGUAGGGCGCAAGCGUUGUCCGGAAUUAUUGGGCGUAAAGGGCGCGUAGGCGGCAUGGCAAGUGGAAGGUGAAAUCCCUCGGCUUAACCGAGGAACUGCCCUCCAAACUGCUUUGCUUGAGGCCGGGAGAGGUGAGUGGAAUUCCCAGUGUAGCGGUGAAAUGCGUAGAUAUCUGGAGGAACACCGGUGGCGAAGGCGACAUCCUGGACCGGUAUUGACGCUGAGGCGCGAAAGCCAGGGGAGCAAAGCGGG
rnacentral:rRNA from 1 species